AUAAAAAUAUUAUACACACUUUUCUUAGUUAUCGAUAUGUUGUUUGGUUCGUCUUUAUUGGUAUUCCGGAUAGUUUGUUUUUAAGACCAGUUGGUUUGGCUUUUACAUCAAUGGGAUAGAAGUGAUGUUUCCUGUUAACGUACAUUUUGUAUAUUGUACAAAAAGUUCCACUCCAAAAUCGUAUAAAAUUAUUGCAAUUUAAAAAACUAUAAAAAAUAUCGACUGAAAUUAAAAAAAAAAAUAAAACCAUUUAGAGACACCUACAGUCAAAUUACUAUACACAGCACAUACGCAUCAACAAUUCAUAUUAGCAGCGAUCUCAUUACUAUUAACUGAUUGUGAUUAUUCGUUCAUAUAUCAGCAGCUUUUGUACCAUUCAUAUCAUUCUAUUGCUUUCAACCGCAUGGUAAAGUUCCUGCAGAAUUUUUAAAAGGUUCUCAACUUAAAUCGCCGCUGUUUAAGAAGUGCCAUCAUUUUAAUAAAUAAAGCAUAUACAGUUAUGGAAGCGACUGCAUCAAAUCUUGCACUGCUUUCGCCAACUGUAAACGUUUGCCCAUCAAAUAUGUUGUCCAUUGAAGCGACAUCCGCAUCUUCUACAGCAACCAUGAUGUCUGCGCCCAUAUCUACAAAUAUUAAUCUAUUAUCAGCACCUUCUAGAGGAUCCUCUCAUCUAGUCUUUAAUAGUCUCGUUUCAGUAGAUCGCUCACAACAACAAAAUCACCACAAGUUUCAUGUUGGCGAUCAGCGAGCUCUUCAACUUGCUUUGGAGAUAACAGCCGUCGGUGUAAAUGAUACGGCUACAAUCCAACCAAAUUUACAUUCUAUGAACAUUCGUAAAAAAAACAACAAUCUAUCUAGUCAACAACAAAUAGGUAAUCAACAAGUAAUUGCCGAUUUGCAACAAAAACAGCCGAAUCAAAAAGUCGAUAUAAGCGCCAAUAAAAGUAUUCAGCCUACGGUGUCAGCUGCUUCCAAUGGUUUUAGUGAAAAUAAUAUAAACGGUUUAAUAAGCAACAAUGGUAGCAGAAACAGUAGUAUAUCAUUUAAUAAUUUUUCGAUGCCAACUCCAUUAUUACCAACUACAAUAGAAGAUCGCUCCAAGAAAUCGCAAAACAUGACGGAAUGUGUGCCAGUACCCAGUUCAGAACAUGUUGCCGAAAUAGUAGGACGUCAAGGUUGUAAAAUUAAAGCUCUACGCGCAAAGACAAAUACUUAUAUAAAAACCCCUGUGCGUGGCGAAGAGCCGGUCUUUGUAGUUACUGGGCGUAAAGAAGAUGUGGCUAAAGCCAAACGCGAAAUAUUAUCUGCCGCAGAGCAUUUUAGCCUUAUACGGGCUACACGCAAGCCAUUACUUAACAGUAGUCUCGAUGAAACAGUAAAUAAUAGCAUGGAUGGAAAUAAUUGUGGCACGAAUGGCUUUCGGAAGGCACCGCCUGGGCCACCGUCUAUACCAGGCCAGGUGACUAUACAGGUGCGAGUGCCCUAUCGCGUUGUGGGCUUAGUUGUAGGACCUAAAGGCACAACUAUUAAACAUAUACAGCAUCAGACACAGACAUAUAUUGUGACACCAUCACGCGACAAAGAGCCAAUAUUUGAGGUUACUGGUUUGCCGGACAACGUGCAAUCGGCACGUAAACAAAUUGAGGCACACAUUGCGCUCCGCACGGGCACUUUACCAACGUCUGGUGGAAACAGCAAUAGCGCAGUUAUGCUAUCAGGCACCACUAAUGAUGUGCUGGCCGUGCACAAUUUGAAUAUAUUAAGUCAAAUACUUAAUCAUCCAUCAGUAGAUGCCGAUUUGCUGGCAACACUUUACAAAACCGAACGCCUGCGAGGCGCUUUAGACUAUGAUGAAGAAGUGGGUGCUGUUGAGACAGACGUGCAAUGCUUUGACUUACCCACAAAGACGAGUAAAAUCAAUUUCAAUAUCAACUGUUUGGAAAAUAAUGCCAUCGAGAAGCCAGCUUAUAUGAAAAUAUUGCAGUCUGAAAAUACGCAGCUACAAAAUUGGGCACAACAAAUGCCUGAUUACGUAAAUGAUUUUACAAAUAGUGGUGGCGACUUGAAUAAAUCCAACAACUUUUCCGAUUUAGAACAAACUAAUCAACAAACAACGCUGCAGCAGCAACCACAAAACCUGUUAGCAACACCAACACAGUUUACAGCUGGUUUAAACCAGCCACAACAAAAGCAACAGCCAUUGCUUUUCGGCAAUCUUGGUUGUUAUAUACAAACAAUAAAUAUUUCGAACAAUUCCACAGCGUUGGAUUACAAAGCACAAAGCGCCGCUAGUGCAAGCAGCACAAGUGCAGCUGGCAUGACACAUAUAAAGUAUAGUAACUCCAAUACAAAUAACAACAAUAUGCUUAGUAGUAUGGCGCGCUCUUGUUCGUCGGCUUCAUCGACUGCGUCAUCGAAAAGUGCCAACAACAGCGGCUGUGGCAGCAGUAGCCGCCCCGAACUGGUGAAUAUUUGGAAAAGUUUAGGCGAUUCUCUGGAUAUAGAUGAGGGUAUAGGUGAUUCACCGAGUAUUUGGACUUUACCAACACCAUUGGCGACGUUGACGGGUUCUCAUUGCUCGCCGUCAACUUCAAUAAGUCCGACUGAUUCAUUGCUGGGCGAUAUUUCAGCGCACACCCACCUAAACAACAACGUUAACAUGACUGGCGUCUUAAACGAAACGAAUAAUGUGCAAGAUAAUCUAAAAAAUGUCAUACAACAACCACAUUUUAAAAGUGACGACGCAAUACAUAGUAUAAUUAGUAAUUCGGCACAGCAGCGACGCGAUUGUUUGAUCUGUAAGAGUAAGGAAAUUACGGCAGUGCUGGUGCCAUGUGGUCACAAUAUGUUCUGUAUGGAAUGCGCCAAUCGAAUUUGCGAAUUAGGUGAUGCCGUUUGUCCCGUUUGCAGUUUAAGCGUUUACCAUGCUAUGCGCAUACUAGCAUAAGCAAUAAGUAAGUAUAACUACAUUUAUGCACACACACAUAAUACAUAAUAGUAUGAUACAUGACUUAUUCAAAUUUAUGAUAAAUUAUUAAAGCUGAUUCCCUCUACGAAUCUCAAUGAAUAUGGUAUUGUGAAGUGAGACAGUUAUGCAUUUACAUAGCUAUAUUUUUACCAUGCACAGCUGCAUAUAUACAUAUAGAAAAAAAAUAACAAAAACAAAAAAUUAACUGCAAUCAAAUGUCCCAAUUAAACAUAAAUCCUAAACAGCAAAUUAGCAUACAUUUUAAUAAUAACAUAGAAUUUAUAAGCAUUUAAAAUUCUUCAUAAUGGAACAUACAUCGUAUGGUAUAUUUAGGUUUGAAAGUAUAUAUUUGAAUGCAAGAUUUAAGACUUACAUAAAUAUUAGUUAAUAUUAGUAUUUAUUGUAUGGCAAAGUAAUAUAUAUAUAUCCCUUAUAAAAUUAAUAUACUCGUAUUCAUAAAAAACAAGCAUUUAAGAAAAUAACGUAUAAUCAAUAUCAAGUUGUAACUUUUAUAUGAGAAAUUCAGGCGUAAGGAUGCAAAUAGUUUUGACAAACUUUAUUCAAAAUAGUAUAGAUACGUAUUACUUAAGGAAAUAAUUAAGGCAUAAACACUUAUCGUACAUUUUUAAGUAUAUGGUAUAUAAAAUGCAAUAAUAUAUAUAGUCGAAUUUAUUAUUUUAGUUACAUAAAAUACAUUCAUAUAAACCAUAUAACAUGUGUAAAUACCGGAGUUAGAUAUACGGUUUUGCAAAAGUACCAAAACCCAACAAGCCACAUCAGUUUGUAAGUUAGUGGAACCGAUUUCUCGAAAAUUUAUGAAUCGAUUUUGUGCAAAUUUUACACAUAUCUUUGCAAUAACGUUAUCUAACUAGUGAACAAAUAAUCGCCCCUAUUCCCGUUGUCGUUAUCGUUUUAAAACGACUAUUUGGUAUUCCUGUUGGCGUUAACGACAUUUAUCGAAAAAAAAUUUAGAUUCCCCAAUUUGAAACGGCUAUAGAAACGACAUAGAAACAGUCGUUUUUUGUCGUUGCUAUAAUUGUGAGCGACAUAGAAACGACGCGGUUGUUUGAAGGAAUAUUUAAAGUGAAGAUGAAAAUUUCAAAUCGGAAACAGUUUGAAAUUUUAAUUUCUGAAAUGGAAAAAUAUCCUGCAUAUGCCAAGGACUUUAGAAAAGGGAUAAAUCCUUUAAAUUUCGAUUUUUUGGGAGGGAUAUUUUUUUCUAAAAAAAAAAAAUAAAUCCAUUCCACAGCCAUCUCGCGUCGGAAAUUGUUGGCAUUAAUAAAAUUGCAUUUUUAUAUCUAAGAAUAUAUUUAAGAUAUGAAAGAUCUUAAAAUUCAAAACGAAGAAAAAAAUAGUACUCCAACAAGAGGGAGGAGUUAAUAAACAGAUACAUAUGUCUCCUUUGGCUGGACCAUUAGUUAGAGUAGUUGGAUUAGCCAGAAGCAAGGAGCAUGAGACGCUGGAAGUAUAACAUAUUUUAGAAGAAAGUUUGAAGGACGCAGAUGUCAUCACUACUUCUUUUAAAAAAUCAAAUAAAGAUGGAAGACUAACAUUGUUGUACGUAAGUACAAUAAUUACAGUGAUAACGUUGUUUAGAGUCAACAUAGAAUAGCAUAAAAUCCAUUAAGGACUGCUUUAAAAAUGUGUCUCGUUACAUAAGGAGAAAUUUUUAUAUGGGAAAAGAGCUCCUUAAAGUAUACUAUAUUAAAUAUGUAGACAAAUUUCGAUAACUUUUCUUAGGCGUUACGAUAUACUUCAAGAAUACCAAUUUAGGAACGAAACGACGAUAAGAACGACAACGACUAUUAAAACGACAACGACAACGGGAAUAGGGCCGAAUGUUUUGUUUUAUAUUUUUAAUUCAUGGCAAGCGCUUUUUUUUUUUAGACCUAAAGGGGGACCUGCUACCAAUUUUUAAAUAAAAAUAUCACCAAAUACUAUUGAAAUACUUUAUGCUGGAUUCUUAAAUAGAAAUAUUUAAUUGUAAAAAAAUUAAAAAAAAUGCGCUUGUUUUCAGACGCUGAAACCCAGCUAACCCCUUAACCCUUCUGCUAUGUUAGGAAAAAAUUAUACAUAUAGUGUUUAUACUUAUAAAAACUCCACUAAAAACACUAUUUUAUUGAAAGAGUUCAUAUUUUUUUAUUUGAAUCAAGUUAAGUGUAUGUUAAUUUUAGAAAUUAGUUGAGAUAUGUAUGUUUUAACCGCAAUUUUCAUAAACUAAGCUGCUGUUUCCUUGCAAACAAAUUUUUGGCACGUACUACAAACAGCUAAAUAUUUGUUCGAAUUUUUUGUAUGAUGACAGAAGAAAUAUCGCUGUCGUUUAUUGGGGGAUUCAUUUCUGGCAGAGCAUAGAGCUGUGCAAAAUAUACUCGAUUUCCGAUAACUAGCUUUCUUUGUCGGCGUUUUUGAUCGAGUGAUGUAAUAAUAAACGGCAAAAUGUUUCAAAAUACUAGGUGGGUCAAAUUGACCCAACAACGUAAUAAGUGUAAUGAAAUUACAUUUGGCAUCCUCCAGCAACAUAAACAACAGAUAUUAUUUUAAUUUUCAUAUUUAUCUAUUCCUUUUACUGCAGUUAACAAAUAGAAGAAUGAUCAAUACAAUACGACUAGACUAACACGCGAAUUUCAACGAGUUUUACUGAAAAUUGUGUCAAAUUGACCCAAACAUAGCAGAAGGGUUAAGGGAGGCAUCCCAUGUGACAGCCUGUCUUUUAGGUAUUUUUUUUUUAACUUAUUUUUGUACGUCUACAGCGUUCUGAAUACGCCCCUCUCGAAAAAAGUGCUCACACUUCCGCCACCAUUCCGGUUGAUCGGAUUAUCGGAAGCAAAAAAACUUAGCUUCGUUUUGAGCUGGAAGCUUAAAUGCAUGGAAUGGACUAUCGCGAAAUGAAUAUACCGAAAAUUGGACUUUGGUAGACAUUCGACAAAAAUUACGAAUUUUCGUUUUUAUACUCUCGCAACAAAGUUGCGUCAGGGUCAGGGUGAAGAGUGGAGUUGAAAUCCGAAUGUCUGUCCGUCCGUCCGUCUGUGAAAGCUGUAACUUGAGUAAAAAUUAAGAUAUCUUGAUGAAACUUGGCACACUUAUUUCUUGGCACCAUAGGAAGGUUGUGAAAAUGAGCAAAAUCGGACCACUGCCACACACACAAAAUGGCGAAAACCGAAAACACAUAAAGUGCCAUAACUAAGCCAUAAAUAAAGCUAUGGAAGAUUAUGAAGGGGCAUAUUUGGAUGUAAUUUUUUUGGGGAGGUGGGGCUGGCCCCGCCCCUAAAUAGGUUUUUUGUACAUAUCUCGGAAACCAAUAGAGCUAUAUAAACCAUACUUUCUGCAGUCGUUUUUUUAGCCACUUCUUAAUACAGUCCAAAAAUGAUAGGAUAAUAACCACGCCCAUCUCCCAUACAAAGGUUAGGUUGAAAAUUACUUAAAGUGGGUUAACUCACUAACGAAAAACGUCAGAAACACUAAACUUCACAUAAGAAAUGACAGAUGGAAGCUGCACUCAGAUUUUUUUACAAAAUGGAAAAUGGCGUCGCGUCGCCCACUUAUGGGUCAAAAACCAUAUCUCAGGAACUACUCGACCAAUUUCAAUUAAACUUGGUUUGUAAGAGUUUGCUUACAUCCCAAUGAUAUAUUGCGAAAAUAGGCAAAUCGCUUCACAACCACGCCUACUUCAUAUAUACCAGAACUUUGAAGACGAUCUGAAUCGUUUACAUUACAAUAUAUAAAAUAAGCACUAGUGAAGAUAUCGGUGCAGAACUUUGCACAAAUACUAUGUUUAUAGUGUGGCAGCCCCAUUCUAAAAAUCGCCGAAAUCGUACCAUAGGUUUCUAAGGCCCCAUAUAUCGAACACGAGGACCUCGGUGCUUCUAACCUAAUAUUAUGGUUUCCAACUUUCAAUGGACUUUAUACAAUAUAUAUGACGAAUAUGUGGGUCAAAUUGUGUAUUAUAUAAUAUAAAUACAGUUAAAUGAAUAAAUUGCGAGAGUAUAAAAUGUUCGGUUACACCCGUACUUAGCCCUUCCUUGUUUUUUAUUUUUUUUUUAAUUUUUUUUGUAUAAUAAUCCAUGUCAUGAGUUUACAAGUGCUGAGUGUACGCUAUAAAUUUCAAGACAAGCAAUUUUUGAGAUUUUGAAAAACGCAGUUUUGAGAAAUACACGUUCAAAGUUUCCGACGGCCAACUCAGCGCUUCGAACAGCUCUUUUUUAACUGCUUCUAAACGACUUCGAAAUUUAAAAAAAUCACUUCACUAUCGUAAUCUAGACAUUAACACACAUAUACCUUAUCCAUAGCAAUGCGUGGCCCGGCCACUAGUAUAUAUAUAAAAAUUCCAUGGUACGUUGUUUGUCAGUAUUGGCGCCUAAGCUACUGAACUGAUUUUAAUUAAAUUUUGCACACGCCUGCAGUUUGGUCCAACUUAAAAGAUAUGAUGGUUUAUAUUUCAAAUUUUAGUCGUAAUGUCCAUCCGUCUGUGCAUUCGGUCAUUCGGUCAAACGAUAAUUUGAAUUGAAAUCUUGAUAUCUUAAUAAAACUGCGUACACGUUACAAUUAGCAAUAUGAGAUUGUAUUGUAGAUAGGCAAAACCGAAAAUCGAACUUCUGCAACAACUAAAAAAUAGUAGUUAAACAAAAAGGGAUAUAACAAUUCUUCAAUAUAAGCUAUAAAAUUCGGAACACAUGAUCUAGGUCCGGAAGGGCAUAUGUGGUUCAUUAUUUGAUAAAUUGGAGGGUAAAAACCAAAGAGAGCGUAUUGGUAUAUUUAUCGCAAAUUACUAAAGCUGACGGAAAACUAGGAAAGUAUUGAAAGUAGUAGAGAAUGGUCGUACCACUACACACUACUCUUUGGUCGCUUCGAUCCAAAUUGGAUGCAUAUUAUUUUGACAUCCUUAUGUACUUUUGAUAAUGAGGAUAAGGCACGUACAAAACAUUUUAUGGCGAAAUGGUGAAAUACUUCAAUCGGAUACAGCUGCCAAUUGAUUCCUCAGUAGAAAUAUUAUUAUUUGGAGCGGUGGAAUAGAACUGCAACCGAAUACAAAAUGUAUUAAUCUGCAAAUAGUUAACCAGAAGGGAAUUUAACAUAUAUGUAUGUACCUUAUCCAUAGCCCGCCCACUAGUUAAAUUAUAAUAUUUAAGCGAAAAAACACCAACAAGCUCAAAAAUUGUUUGCACAAAAGUAUUUGCCAAUUUCAACAAUCGUAUGUUAAACAAAUUUUUAUACAAAGUUUAACAAUUUGUUUGCAACCCCCUCCAUUUAAUGACUUCUCGACAAAGAUUGGGGAUUGAAUGUACUAGUUUUUUUGUAACAUCGGCCCCGAUUUCCAGCCAUUCUUCCGACAGAGCUCUUUUAAGCUGCUCUUUCGACGUUAUGUUGUGAUUUCGAACAUUUUUAUGGGAUGUUUGUAAUGUGAUUUUCGAGCAUUGACCACUUUCAGCUAUUAAGGUUAAGGCCCGUUUAUUUUUCAAUUUGAUUCGUUGUUGCAACAUUGAAACAUAUUCGCUUUCACAUCGUUCAAUGACCAGAUGUUAAAACAUCUAUAUCGCUUUCACUAUCAAUCGCACAUAGAGGUCAUUAAUUCAGCACUACUUCAAUCUGCGAUAACAAAGUAAUCAUUUCUUCUAAUGUCAAUUUACUCUUGCCUAUCACUGCCUUCCUGCCUUCAAAAUUCCUUCGAAGUGAAGAGCAUCCGACAUCCCAAAAUACCAUUUAAUUUUAUCUGCUUUCAAUAUGGGAGCUACAGUUGAAUUUUUCUUGAUUGCCAUUUUGAAAACUACGUUUCCAUUGUCCGAGUAUAUAAGUUGUUGUUAUUGUUGUUGUAGCGGUUACCCAGUCCUGCCUGAAAUGACAAGCCUAGCCUAAUUGUCAUCGAAGUCAUCUAACGGAAGACCCAGUGUCUGCAACGGUGGGUGUUGUUUCUCCUGUCGGUAUAGUCUUUUAAGUCGUCGACGUAUUUCAGGAAAGUACUCUUGAUAGCUCUGGGAGGCGGCUUGGAUUACAGCAGGUAACUGCAGGGGUGAUUUCUACGAAAGCAUCCCAACAGAAACUGUUUGGUAAACAUUAUGCUAUGCUCCUUGCCAGGUAGGUUUCCGGCCUCGUUGUGAAGGUGCUCGACCGGAGACAUCAAGAGGCAACCUGAGGUUGUUCGGAGGGCGGUAUUUUGGCAAGUCUGAAGCUGCCCCAUCUGCGUCCCACUGCAUCCAGGCGACCAUAUUGGGGCUACGUAGUUAAGGACCGGUCGGCCGAUUGCCUGGUAAGUUGCCAACAACGAUUCUUUGCCUUUACAAUAGGUGCAGCCGGCUAGCGACUUGAGGAUUUUGUUGCGGCUCUGUACCUUGGUUACAAUCGUGGUCGUGUUAGGAGUGAAAGAGUACAGGCUAUCCAAUAUGACACCAAAAAAUUUGGGAUUAUUGACCGUCGGAAUUCUAAAGUCAUCGACUGAAAUGUUCAGGUCUAGACUGAACUCCUUCGUCCAAUUAGUGAAUAGGGUCGCUGUGGAUUUGGUAGGGGAGGUGUUAGGCUCUUAGUAGUGAGGAUGCGAGAAAGGUGGAGGAGGUAGCCGUCAACUUUCGAACACAUGUCAUCGAUUCCAUUGCUCGACGUCAAUAUCGUAUGAUCAUCAGCGUAAGAGGUAACUGAGACUCCUUCUGGUGGUUGAGGGAGUUUCGAAAUAUAGAAGUUAAAUAAUCAGGGAGGAUAGGACACCACCCUGAGGUACCCCCUGUUUAAUUCUUCUUAGCAUGAAUGUUUGCCCUCGAAACAUUACGCAUGUCUGACGACCGCUCAGGUAAUUAAUGGUCCUCCUCUUCAGCCCUGGAGGUAGCGGAGAUUGUUCGAUAUCUUCUUGUAGCGUUGUGUGGUUGACUGUGUCAAAAGCUUUUGACAAGUCAAGCGCUGCUAGGACCGUCCUCUUGCAGGGAGGUUUUUGAUUUAGACCAUUAGUUACCUGGGCGUUUAUGACCCUAAGUGCUGUGGUGAGUGAAGGUCGAGAGUAACAAGGCCUCAAGUGUCUUCACUAUUGGGGAAAGAAGAGUUAUCGGAAGAUAAGACUCCCCUUGGUUAGCUGGAUUCCCUGGUUUCAGUAGUGGGACCACUCUUCCGGUUUUACACGAAUCGUGUAUGUUAAGAGUGUUCACAGACAGAUUGAGAACCUUGGUGAUGUUGGUGGUCAUCAUGCCUUCUCUGUUUGGAUAGGGACUUGACAGUAGUUCAGAGCUUACCCACACCAGUGGAAAGAUUACAAGACUUCAGGUGCUCUGGCCAUUUCGUCCGCUUAUAUUUGAUAGAUUGAUUUACCGUUCGUCGACACGGAGUAUGACAUCGCGAUCGUUGGCUAAAACUGCUGCUUCCGCUGGGAAGAUGGGGCGGAUAUCCGCAAUGCGUCCAGCAGGAAUGAAGGAAGCAGUAGCAGCUGCGAUUGGCUUGUGGAAUUGACGUUCGACAACGUAUACGUCCGUAGGAAUGGGCAGUGCGUUGAACGUGCUCUCGCUAAAUUCUGUGAAGCCGACUUAGAUUUUUUGAAGUUAACGAAUUACGCCCAUAAUUCUGGUGUUGUGCAGAAUGUCGAAUCGUCAAUCUGUUCUGCCAGCUCCAUCCCCCGACGUUCAUUUGACAGGCAAGAAUGCCAAAAAUCGUGAUGCGCGUUAAAAUCGCCGAGUAUCAAUCGGUUUUCACCACGAAGAAGCGCACCGAUGUUCGGGUGAUAUCCUGUUGGGCAACAUAUAACUGGGGGGAUGUAUAUAUUAAAUAUUUCUAGCUCUACAUCGCCUGACCGGAUAGCUAUGCCCUGACAUUCCAGGGUAGUAUCCCUGCGGUCAAUGUUUCCAUCGAUUAAACGAUACUUCACUUUGUUGUGCAAGAUGUAUGCCAAACCACCACCAUUGUCUCGUUCGCUAUCCUUACGUAUAACGUUGAAACCGGCACAGCUCAGAAGAUCUGAGCUGCCGUUUAGCUUGGUUUCUUGGACCGGAGCUAUGAAUACGCCUUCCCGACUCAUUAGCUCAACUAUCUCCUCCAUCUUACUCUGGAGUCCGUUGCAGUUAAAUUGUAGAAGCUUCGUUCGUCUCGGUUGGCCAGUAACAUCCCUUGGUCGGAUCCGAAAUUCCGAGUCAAUCCCGGUGUAUCAUAGAACCGACUGAUUUAGAGAUUGUAUAUAAGUUAAUUAUUUUCAUUAUUAAUUUAAAUAAAAUUUGGUACAAAUGAUUGUUCUAGGAAGGGACAUAUUUGGAUGUAAUUUUUUUGGGCGUGGUCCCGCCCCCUACUAAGUUUUUUGUACAUAUCUCGUAAACUACUAAAGCUAUAUCAACGAAAUUCUCAGGAGUUGGUUUUUUCAGACAUUUCCUUAUAUACUCCAAAAAUGGAGGAUAUCGGAUUAUAACCACGCCCAGCUCCCAUAUAAAGGUUAUGUUGAAAACGACUAAAAAUGCUUUAAUUCGGUAAGAGAAAACACCAGAAACCUUCAAUUUCAUUAUAAAGAAGGUACAGAAGGGCUCCACCCAAAUUAGUAUACAAAAUUGUAAGUGGGUGUGGCUCCGCCCACUCACAGGUCAAAAACCAUAUCUUCGAAACUACGCGACCAAUAUCAAUGAUCAAUUUGGUUUGUAAUAUUUUCCUUGCAUCCCAAUGAUAUGUUGUGAAAAUAGGCCAAAUCGGUUCACAACCACGUCUACUUCAUAUAUACCAGAACUUUGAAGUUCAUCUGAAUCUAUACUAUACAUAAAGUAAGCACUAUUGAAGAUAUCGGCAGCCCCAUUCUAAAAAUUGCCGAAAUCGGACCAAAUGUUUUCAAGACCCCAUAUAUCGAACAGUAGGACCACAGUGUUUCUAACCUAUUAUUAGGGUUUCCAACUUUCAAUGGACUUUAUACCAUAUACAGUAUGUCACCAUUUGAUCUUGGGUUCCAGAAAAAUAUAUUUAAUUGCAACUUUUUUAUUUGUAAUGAUAAUCAAAUAAUAUUUCAUACUAACAGACCCGGCCACACGUUUUUGUGGCUAAGGUAUACAUUAAAUUAGUAAAUCUUUCAAUGCAGAGAAAAAAUUCUUACGCAUAAAGACGAAAACGUUAUAGCCGAUAAAUUUUAAAAAGAUUGAUAGACAUUAUUGUAGAUCUGUGUUAAGCGUAAAUCAUCAUAAUUUGUAAAACUUUGAUUUUGAAUAACACGAUGAAUAAGCUCCUCUUUCGAGGCCGUGAAGUGACAGAAACCCGUUAAAAAUGUUAUUAAUCCAUCGAGGUGUCAACUGCGUCGCUACCAUUUUCAACUAUUUCUACAAUCGCAGUAUGAUAUUGUUGGAAAAACACUCGUAUGUUAUAUUUUCAUUGGCGAUUCUUUAUGUGUCGCCACAAAUUAGAUGAUUUUAGGAAUGUGAUUAGUUCGUCAGAAUCAUGGCUUCACCAAAAAUAUUUUCGUUGUCGCGUAAAUCUUUUAAAGUCCUGUGCAGUACCUCCAGCGACUUGAAUAUCUGGAAAAUCUUCUUUAUAGCUCUUUUUUUGGCGAUUUUGCAGACUGGUGUUUCGCAAUUCAGGAGGAGUUUCAAGGCCGAAUUUCCGUUUGUCUGCCUACUAACAGAUGCCAAGUUGCCCCUAUUCCCAUUAUAACUGGGCGUUGAAAAUGAGUGAAAUUGGUUCAGGAAUUACCUCAAUCCUCAUGUACUAUAUAUGCUGAUUUUCGUUAUUCUAUUGGACUUUAUUUCAAAUUGUGUGUAAUAAAAUUACAUCAAUAAAUUGCGAGAGUAUGAAAUGUUCGGUUGCCUUUCCCUACUUGUUACAAAUUGUUUUGGGCUAUCGACACAGCCUUAUACAAUUGAACAAUGAUAAAAAUAUUUUAACAAAGCAACAAUGACAACUUUCAAAAUAUUAUUUUUUGUUUUUUUUUUUAUAAUUUUGUUGUCAAUUCAAAAAUAAUCAUCUUGUUAUCUUCCUCACAAUUUUUCGAUAUAUACUUACUUUCUAAUCCUUCCCUGGCCUUCCAUAAAUAUUUCAAAACUAAAAUUAGCCAGAUCGGUUUGGCCCUUCUUGACUUUUUUCGAGACUAACGACACAAAUUGUUUGUAUGGGUGAUUAGAAAAUUGUGGAUUUAAGACUUUCAGGCAAUUUUUCUAAUUUUUCUCUCCGUAAGAACCAUCCCGGUACCUCUAAAAACAUUCUAAAAACAGAGAUUUUGCGAAAUCGGUUCAGCGGUUCUCGAGUUAUGCGCUUAGCAACACAUUUUGCGAUUCAUUUUUAUAUUAUAGAAGAUAGAAAACUAUUAAAGGUAAUGAAUUAAAACUGACAAAUAGUUUUUUCAAGCAUAUGUUUCAUUUCGAAGAAUUUUUGAAAAUGGCUCCGCUGAACAUUUGAUCUAUUGGUUGACAUUAACGAUUUGUUUACUAAAUAUUUAAUAUGAUCCCCUUUUAGUUUGAUUACUGCCUCAAUUUGUUUAGGCAUAGACUUAACCACCUUUAUGAAGAAAUCUCCACUAAUUUUUUCCCAGGAAUUUGGAGCCUUUUGCCAUAUAUCGUUAAGAUUCUGACACUCACCUGGUUUAUCAGAAAUCGCACGACUGACUUCAACCCAAGCAUAUUCGAUUCGAGUGAGGUCUGACUAUUGACGGUGUCAGUCGAGUACAUCAAAGUCGUUGUUUUGAAGCCAAGCUUUAGCUACAUGAGAAGUGUGUUUCGGAUCAUUAUCUUACUGGAAGACACAUUCCGACACAUUCAUGCCACACACUUCUAGACUCCUGUACAAACCUUGUUGAAUAAUAUCAACAUAUUGGUUGCUAUCCAUUCGCCCGGCAACCCCUACGCACCCUUCUACCCACUCCAUUCUCAUACACCCCCACAUCACUACAUUUUCCCCCCCAAACUUCACUGUUGGUUGAACAAUAGGGCUCGUCAAAGGCGCGCGAGGUUUUUGUCAAAUACAUUGCCGACCAUUUUUUCCAAGACGGUUUAUUUUUGUUUCGUCGGACCAUAUGACACGCUCAACUCAAUUUACGGUGUCGAUUUGUCAAUAGUGUUUUUUUUUACUUCGAUACGUCCGUGCAAUACGUUUUUCCGCAAUUUCUUCUGGAUAGCUCCACUUUUCACAUUUAUUCCAUCCCUAUGGAAGAGAUAACAUCUGAUUUUACCCGCAUUUUCAUACACACUAAACUUUAUCAGCCUAACAGUACGCCUUACUAAUGUCACAUACAAAAUUGGCUUUCGUCCAGGAGUGUUUUUAUGCAUAAAACACUCAUUGAUUGUCUUAUUUUUGAAACACCAACGAGCCUUGCAAUUUCUCUAUGCAUUGUGUUUAAAUCAAUAAACCCUUUAAUAUUUUCCAUUAUUGUUGAAUUUAGUUUUUUUUAUCUAUAGUAAAGACAAAUUUAAGGAAAUAACAAAGAAGAAGAAUAAAAAAUACCCAAAUUUUACCAAAAACUUGUAUCUACCGAUUCCACCACUAUUAAUUACAGAAUAAAAGUUAAAACUUUAAUAUCAGAGCAAUAUUAAGGCGGCCAAUACUUCUUUAAUUAACAAAGUCAACUAAUUGAUCACAUGGCUUUCUCAACAUUUUUAAAUAUUCUUUGAAAAGUAACGGCACAUUUCCAGUAAUUCCGCACUUACUAACUGUUAUUUUAUAGGCCUACUUAUGAAACUUAACUUUUUUACUCAAAAGUUUAUUUUAAUAAAGAACGAACAAAAUAUUUUGUAUUUUGAAAAGUAUGUGAUCGAAUAGUUGACAUACUGUAUAUGACGAAUAUGUGGAAAUUGUCUAUUAUAUAAUAUUAAACAAAUAAAUUGUGAGCGUAUAAAAUGUUCGGUCACAACCGAACUUAGCUCUUCCUUACUUGUUAUUGAAUACAAUUAUAUUUUCUUAACUAUAAACCUAGGUGUUUGGCACUGCGUUGUUUAAAUUUCCUGACUUGGCGCUUCCCAUGAAUUGCAGUGCACGUGUUACAAUUUCCGCGAUUUGGUGGUGUUAUAUCCCGUUGCUUUAUGUCAUAUGAUAUGAUGAUCUGUUAAUAUGUGAUGUGUUAACUUAUAUGCUGACUUUUACCUUCUAAUGUAUUUUUGAGGUUCAAAAUUGUGCGGACCUGUACUUCCGCUAGGCGUACCAGUAGUAAUAGUAUGGAAAAUAAUGCUAGUACUUAUUUAAUUGCGUACAUAUUCUUAUUUUGCCAUUCGAUGUCCUUACAUUGUUUAUGAGCUAAUUUUUGUAAGUUACUUUGUCUUGUUCUUUCUAUGUCUUUGGGGAUAAAUGUAACGUUUUUAUACUCUCGCAACAAAGUUGCUACGAGAGUAUUAUAGUUUUGGCCACAUAACGGUUGGUUGUAAGUCCUAAAACUAGACGAGUUAGAUAUAGGGUUAUAUAUAUCAAAAUGAUCAGGGUGACGAGAAAAGUUCAAAUCCGGAUGUCUGUCUGUGCGUCCGUCCGUGCUAGCUGUAACUUGAGUAAAAAUUGAGAUAUCUUGAUGAAACUUGGAAGACGUAUUUCUAGGCACCAUAAGAAGGUUAAGUUCGAAAAUGGGCGUAAUCGGACCACUGCCACGCCCUUAAUUUGGCGAAAACCGAAAACACUUAAAGUGCCAUAACUAAGCUAUAAAUAAAGCUAUGGAAGUAAAAUUUGGUAUGAAGGAUCGCACUAUGAAGGGGCAUAUUUGGAUGUAAUUUUUUUGGUUAAGUGGGCGAGGCCUCGCCCCCAAAUCGGUUAUUUGUAUAUAUCUCGCAAACCCAUAAAGCUAUGUAAACCAAACUUUCUGCAGUCGUUUCUUUUAGCCACUUCUUAACACAGUCCAAAAAUUAAAGAAAUCGGAUAAUAACCACGUCCACCUCCCAUACAAAGGUUAUGUUGAAAACUACUAAAAGUGGGUUAAUUCACUAACAAAAACGCCAGAAACACUAAAUUUCACAUAAGAAAUGGCAUAUGGAAGCUACACUCAGAUUUUUAUACUAAAUGGAAAAUGGGCGUGGCAUCGCCCACUUAUGGGUCAAAAACCAUAUCUCAAGAACUACUCGAUCGAUUUCAAUGAAACUUGGUUUGUAAUAAUUUCCUUACAUCCCAAUGAUAAGUUGUAAAAAUAGGUCAAAUCCCUUCACAACCACGCCUACUUCCUAUAUACCAGAACUUUGAAGACGAUCUCAAUCGUUUACUUUACAAUAUAUAAAGUAAGCACUAGUGAAUAUAUCGAUGCCGAACUUUGCACAAAUAUUAUGUUUAUAGUGUGGCUGUUGUUCCGAGGAAUUUUUAUUUUGAUAAAUAUUAUAUAUAUGUUUCCAUUGUACCGAAUGAUUGUUACUGGUAUUAACUUGAAAGUUGUUAGUCUCUAUUCUUAGUUCAUGUAACCGUUUACACUGUAUAUGCAAAUGUUAAAAAAAAAAAAUAUCUUCCUGACCUUCAUAGUCCAUUCGUACUCUGUCAAUUGCCUCAAUGAAGGUAAGGACUUUUGAUAUUUUUAUGUGUUGUAUUUACUUUUUUACAAAAUGAAUUCAAUCUGCUUGACACAUCCACUUGUGACUUUUAUGCCAAUUUUUUUGUUUUUGUAAUGGAAGCGGACGAUUUAUGACUAAGGUUUGAGAAUCGGAACUUUUGACUGCACCAAUUACGUAUUCCAGUCCGUGAAAUAAGUAUUUUUUUUUUUUGUUUUUUACCGACUGUGGUUUUACCAUUUCAAAUAUGAUCGUCUCGGUCUUCAAGAGAAAGGUUAAGCUUUAAGUUUUAUAUAAUUUGGAAUGUUGUUUCUGGUACUCAAAGGAACCUAUGUCCCUUUUUUGCCGUAAUGGAGAGUAAGGGUGGCUGCAGAGUGGACGCUGACCUAUGCCGAGCCGAGAGCUCAAAAACACCCCCCAAUGAAAAGGAAGCAACAUCCUCGGAUGAGAGACCCCAAUUUUGAUGACGACCACUGCAAACGUUUAAAGGACUACGAAUUAAGGGCAUGUACCUGGAAUUUCCGGACCCUUAAUUGGGAAGGUGCCUCUGCCCAGCUGGUUGAUGUCCUCGUAAGAGUAAAGACUGACAUCACCGCAAUUCAAGAAAUGCGAUGGACGGGACAAGGACGGAAGAAGGUGGGUCCUUUUGACAUCUACUACAGCGGCCAUAUAAAGGAGCGCUAAUUCGGUGUGGGAUUCGUGGUGGGUGAGAGACUCCGUCGUCGAGUCCUGGCAUUCAUUCCGGUGGAUAAACGUCUAGCCACAAUCCGCAUCAAAGCGAGGUUUUUCAACAUAUCGCUGAUUUGCGCCCAAGCCCCGACGAAAAAGAAGGACGAAGUGAUCAAAGAUACCUUCUACGAGCGCCUAGAACGUACCUAUGAGCGCUGCCCCCGCCACGAUGUCAAAAUCGUGCUUGGCGAUUUCAACGCUAGGGUGGUCAAACAAACAGUCAGCGCACUCGCGUCUUGGCUCCCACGUCACUUUGUAGAGAGAAAGGUUUUACUUAAGAUUUAUGGUCCCUUAAACAUUGGCAACGGCGAAUGCCGCAGACGAUGGAACGACGAGCUGUAUGUGUUAUUCGACGACAUAGACAUAGUCCAGCGAAUAAAAAGACAGCGGCGCUGGCUAGGUCAUGUUGUUCGAAUGGACGAAAAUACCCCAGCUCUGAAAGUUUUCUAUGCAGUACCCGCUGGUGGAAGCCGAGGUAGAGGGAGACCUCCACUCCGAUGGAAGGACCAGGUGGAGAGGGACCUGGCUUCGCUUGGUAUAAACCAACUGCCAGAAGGAGGGAUAUGUGGCGCGCUGGUGUGGACUCGGCUAUAACCGCGUAAGCGGUGUCUACGCCAGUCAAGAAGAAGAAGAUCUGGACAUCUGGGUUUCUAUCUAGUUCCUUAAUAUUGCAUGGUCAAUGGUUAUGUUAUUUGUGUUUGAAAAGCCGGCGUUCGGAUUAAGAGCGGCCUACAGCAACUGCGAUUAGUAUAGCAGGUCGUAUGGUAUUAGUCUUUCUACGCCUUUUCUCCAUGAAUUAAAACCUGCUGUGUCGAUAGAAAAUUCUUUAAUGUACUUGACAAUAUUUGGUACUCUGUGCAUAUCAGAAAAGUCUCCCUGGUAACGUGGGUAAAUUUUUUGCGAUUAGGUGUAACCGAAAUCUGCUGGUCUCUUAUUAAGACUUAUUAAAAGUACUGGUAGCUGUUGACCUAAUCCUUCUCCUUUUAAAUUUUUAAUAUGUUACUGAGUAGCCAUGUACAAGAUUCUAUUUUGUGUUACAUUUGAGAUUCUGUUUAAUAGUGGAGGUCCCCAUGGAGUUUCCGUAAUAUUUAAACUAUAUUUGAUACGGUUUCUGAUGAACUUCGCUUUACUGCAUAUUUCACAAUUAGUGAUGUAUUUCUGUAUUUCUUUUUGUAAUUUGGAGUGGUAGUGUGUUUUCCUUAUUUCGUAUGAUAUUUCAUUCAUUCCCUCUGAUUAUUUUCCAGGUAGGAAACACCACUAUCAAUCUUAAAAGUUCUGAAAAACUUAGAAAUUGAAAGUGAGGCCAACAAAUCCGGUCAAAUAUAAUAUACAACAUUUAAAAAUGGUCGAGAGUUAAGGAUAACAUAUCCAUAUUUGUGCUCAAAAUCGCAUGUAACCACGAAUUGGGAAAAACUCUAUUAAAUUUUGAUCUUAAUAUAUUUGUUUUUUGUUUUUAGAAACUUUACCAUUUCCCGCAGACAAAUAUCUAUCUGCGUUUUAUCUUCAGAGAAAAUAAUUUGAAAUCCAUGUAAACAAUAUAUUCGCGUAGUAUAUCAUCCAUUGCUCUCCGAAAAACACGCAUCGAGACGCAUUUUGAAUCUAAAAGGCAUUCUCAAGAAUUCAUACUUCCCGUUAUUAUGGGGAAAAGCUGACUUUUCGAUAUCAUUUGAUUGACGUUAAGAUUUGAUGCAACUCUUAUUCUAGAUGAUUGAUCAUAUUUUGCUUUACCUAAAUUAAACAGGAUUUUAUUAGUAUCCGGAAUCGAAUAAUGAUCGGAAGUGGUUUGUUGAUUUAAUUUUUAGUAUAGACAAUGACAAGAAUGAUAGAAGACAAGAUUAUGACAUAGUGACGCGCAAUAGGAGAAUUGUCAAAUGGAAAACGGAAAUGUAAAACCUAGUGGAUCAAAUUGAAUAAUGUGCAGAUAAAAUAUCACAAUGAACGUGAUUCUUAAAAUCGUCAUCUUUAAAAUGAUCCAAUAUAAUAAUGCAUAUUUAUAAUUAAAAUUAUAUGUUUGCGGACUUCUUUUUCAAGUUAAUACAUUUUUCACUUAGAAUUUUAAAUAAUAAUUAAGCACAAGCCUUGACUUCAGCUCUUUGUUUUGGUUUUAUUGUUUUGUACUACCGUGCAAUUUGUCAGUUUUUCUUUCGUUUUUCGUUUUGCUCGCGUGUUUGGGGGUCGUGAGUGUGUCACUCAACAGGAAAUUAAAACCCAAAAAAGAUAACUGUGAAAGAAUGGCGGAAUCUUGUCUUCUACAAUCUUGAGUCAAUGACCAUUCUAAGUUCUGGUGAGCCAUUUUCUUUUGUACCCUUUUUGUGGUAACCCUAAAUUGGUGAGAUAUAAGGACUUGUGUUAGGUCAGAUUAUAUUUUUUUUGCUCCAUUUCGGGUGGUCACAUUACAUUCGUCAUGAAUAAGAAACUUGUAUUAAUACCUGAAUGAGUUUUGAGCAAUUUUUUUCGAUAUAGAGGAUUCAUAUUACCAAUAAAGUCAUUGCUUUAUGUUUCAGGAUAUUUUUGUCCUUGAGCCACACAUAAAGCUAUAUUACUAUCUGCGAUAAGGCGAGUAAUUAAAUCAACGUUAAAGCUUCACCGUUAGCCAUUUUGACUUACGUUUUCAAACUUAAAAUUUGGUGCAUAACAUCUUAAAGUUUCAAAAUGCGCGGAAAUGGACCUAAAACAAGAAAUUCCGUGCCGUACUUCUACCCCGAUAUGCAUAUAUGUACAACGUCCGGUGUGAUUAACGGGGGUAUUUGCCGAUGACGGCCUUACUCCACGGUGCUCAAAAGCACAGCGGAUCAAAUCAAUGCGAUGAUCAGCGCCCCGAAAAUGAAAUGCAUUUUUCGAUAUCAAUUGGGGUGUGGAAUGGACACACUAACCACCUUGGUGGGUUUCGAGGCCUAUCUAAAACCUCUGCCGUACUUUGGGUCCGGCACCCGGUUGCAAUGCAACUCCACAUUGAGUGACUAAGAUCACUCUACCCGCAUUCGGGUAUUAACCACAACCACCACGAUAUUCCCCAAGGGGCCAGUCCGCAUGAGCAGGUUGGAGCGAAAUCCAAGGGCUCCUGCUCCCUAUGGUACCAGAAUUAAGCCUCAGGUCAGACCUCGUAGCCGAAACUACUACGAGUUGAGCUUCCAUAGAACUCUGAACUGGUGACCAGGGUUUGAACAAUUUCAAUUUAAUAAUUAUCACAGAACUUAUAUCUACUAACGUACUCAAACACAAAAUCGCAUAUUUCGUUAAAAGCGAUGUAAAAUGUUUUACAUACAAAACGGUAAUAACUUCUAAAGAAAAAACGUUUCGAACAACAACGUUUUAUGGAUUAAUCCGUAAAUAAAGCCCGUUACUGCUUCAGAUACCUCAAUGGUAUCGAUUUUAAUAAACAUCUAUAAACGUGGUUGCCAUUAGCCAACUUGGUAGGGUUCAAGGCCUAUCUAAAACCUCUUCCGUACUAUGGAUCCGGUUGCAAUAAAACUCCCCAUUGAGUGAUCGAAACACUCUUCCUGCAUUCGGGUAUUAAACCACAACAACCACGAUACUCCUCGAAGGGACAGUCCUGCCCCCCCUUAGUACCAGAAUUAGGUCUCUGGUCAGACCUCAUAGCCGAAACUACUACCAAUUGAGCUUCCAUCCUGUUCCGGACUGGUGACCAUCUAAAUUAAUGAGAUUAAUUUAUAACGGCCCUCCAAUACAUACGGCAUUCAUUCGAGAAGCUAACCCUGGUAACCAUCUAAAUUAAUGAGAUUAAUUUAUACCGCCCCUCCAAUAUAUACGCCAUUCAUUCGAGAAGCUAACCCCGGUUUUCAGUUAAUUGUCUUCUCCGCCUAAACAACAUACGCUCAAACCUUUGAAACGACUUUAACUGUUCGGCAUUCCGACUAGUGGAGAUCGCACCAUUAACAUCUAACCGUCCAUCAGUCCAACUAAUCCCCAUACCCCCAAGGUCCCUAAUGUCCGAGUACAUCGGGCAUUCCGCUAUAACAUGUAACCAAUCCUCAACACGCGCCCCACACCUACACUCUGACUUAUCUUAAAGGUGCCUUUUAUGCAGAAAUGCAUUCAGAGGCCCGUACCCCGUAAGCAGGAAACCCAAACUCAGACAGAAUCUGAAGUCCGGGUUUCCUUCUACAUACCUAACGGUCUUUCCACCUACAUCUAACCCUAUCAUCUAGAAGCCUCUUGCUCCCUAGAGAACCCUCCUCCAUCCAUCGGAAAUCAAAUCGUUCCAUAGCAAUGACACACUCAGACCCCUUCUUAACCUGAAUGACACAGCACGCUGUAUGACAACCAGGUCAAGAGGGGGCGCACCUAAUAGCACCUGCAACGCAUCCGUAGAAACGGUGCGACAUACAGGCAGACAGGCGAUCAUCAUGCAACGCUGCACGGAGAGGAGCUUUCGGCGACCAAAGACCGUUGUGGCUGUUUCCCACCAUACCCCAGCCCCGUAAGUGGCAUAAGCCACAAAUAAGCCGUGAUAUGUGUCCGUGGCCCCAAUCACUCCGCAAAACGCGCAUGACCUUACCAACGACCGCCUGCAGUCGCUCCUUCACACUCACCAGGUGUGGAGUAAAAUACAUUCUUUCACUCAUGGUCAACCCCAGGUACUUGACUUGCGUCACAUACCUGAUGCCGACCCCAUUCACUCGGACAACCGGUGGACGCCCCGGUGACAGUCUGCAUUUUAAAAGCAAUGUCACCGAUUUGUCCAUCGAUAUGUCAACACCACACAUCAAUCCCCCAGUUGUGGGCAAUUUCUAAAAAUUGUCCUGCCAACCGGUUCAAUUCAGACCUUGAACGAUCCAACCGGAAGAAGAAGAUACUCACAACACCUACAGAGAGGUUCGAGCUGCCCAAGCAGAGAGUCCAUCAUGAGAUUCCACAUAUAUGGACCGCAGAUGGAUCCCUGCGGACAGCCACGAUAGAGGCCUUCCUAUCCGAAAAAUAACUCCGCCGGGCAGCGUAGUUCCUAAAAAACUGAUGACUCCAACCACCAGCUGGUAUUUUUGUUUUUGUAGAGAAGAGUAUAAUGAAUGAUUUGGGACUGUUUUGAACCAAAUCGCUUCCAUAUUGUGACAGAUACGAUUUUUUGAAUUUCUUCGUCAUAAAAACAUCCCCAUCGUCUCGAAACGGUUAAACAAGUUUUUAUGAAGAUACAUAAUUGUGAUAUUUAUAAAUUUUUUAAUGAAGAUUCAUUGUUAUGAUCAUACAUAGUUCCAUUAAUUUUUUUGACUUAUUGGGUUUCAAACAAAAGCUCUUCAUGUUGGUAAUUUGGUAUUUGUAUAACAAAAAUUAUUUCAUUAUUUUUAUAUUGAGCUGUGCUAACUUUAAUAUUUUGCAUUUUAUAUAAAUCUAUAUUGCAACGAACUAUUUCUUCUUCAGUUAGUUAGUUAGUUAUUAUAUUGUUAUUCAUUAUAUUCAUUUUUGCUGACAUAAGGUUGUUUUGUAUGUCUUCAACAUUGUCUAAUAAAAUUUUAAUUUUUAACAGAGAAUCAGGAUACAUUAUUUUUCUUUCUAAUUGUUGAUCACUUGUAGCGAUUUCAUUAAAUUUCCUUUUAAAUAUUUCCCUAUCUUCAUCUAUAGCAUCUUUAAGUUUUGCAAUUGUUAUAUUAAAUACGUUAUUUAUUUCUAUAUUUUGGUUUCUAUUUAUUUCUAUUUCUUUUCUGUCGCUAUCGUCCAUUGUACCAUAUAGCCAUUUCAUACCUGAUCCUAUGUUAUUAAUUAAUCCUCUUCGUGGGUUAAUAGUUAUUAAUUUCGAUUUAACCUUAUUUAAUUCUUGUAUCAAAAAAUGUUUUUCCUUAUUAUCUGUAAUUUGUUCGAUAUUAUGUUCAAGUGUUUCAGUAACUUUUAUAAUUUCUAACGGGUUGAUAAUAUGUAGUAUUGUGCUGUAAUUGACUGUUAUCUUUGCGUCUUCAAGAGAAAUUUCAGUAAAACCGUUUGUACCAUCAACGUUUUCCACCAUUACGGUUGCGUUGCUCAGUAUCAGAAAUUUCAUUAGUGUUGUAAUCGUCAGUAUUGGUUUUACAUUAUAAUUCUUCAAGUUUACUGCUUGGUGAUACAGGUUAUGGUACGAUUCCUCUAUGACGAAGUUUUGAUGAGUUCUUCUUUGAUGUCUGGCCAUGUGGCUUCUUGUCCCUCUCAAAUAUAAAUCGUUGCUUUGGUAUGUUAAUAGAUUAAUACCGUGCUAAUCUUAUGAUUACUUGCGCGGACUGCGCCACUUUCGUAAUUAAUGCCGAACGAUUAAAAUUUUUAUUUGAAAAUCUUUAUUACUGAACUUUACAUUUCGGUUGGUUCUUAAGAACUAACUACAUUCUUUAAAAACUACUUAUAUUUAUAUGGUUCUUAAAUUUUCAAAUGUAGACUCAGCACAACGUUAGUUAAACUCAUUCAUAUGUUUGUGAAAUCAAUUAAGUCAACGAAAUCGAUAAUUGCUCCAAAAUUAGGUUACAAUGUUGCUGUGCAAGCAAACAAUUGAACUUGUAAGUUUAAAAAUCAAUAAAUUUGAUUGGUCUGUAGUUUCAUUGUGUAAACAACUAAAACUGUUUGUUUGUCAUUUGCCCCAAUGACGAGUUGAACGACUCCUUGGAACGUACUUAUUAUAAAUGGCCUCCAAGUAUUCCGGAAUGAACUUCCACAAGCUUUUACACAUCUCUCCGUUCAAACCAUCAAAACCUGGGGACCGUUUAAACUUAACCAGGCCAAGGGCGUAUCCCAACUCCUCAUCAUCUAGUGGAGGAACAGGUACCUCUUGUGCUUGAGGUGCCUGAACCUCAGCCCUGGGAAAGAACGCUCCUAACAGAACCUCCGCACACUCUCUCCACGUUAUUAGCACAGAGUCAUCAACGCGGAGAGAGGUGAUAUUCUCCCUCUUACCACCCCUGCAGAUCCUGUAGACCUGACCCCAGGGGUCGUCCCUAUUUCCCCCCACAAAACGCCUCCAAUCUUCUUCUUUAAUUUUCACAAGCAUAUCCUUAUACUCUCAUCGCACAACUAAAAUCAUAUCUAAUCUGGGAUAACCUAUCCGAAUUGGACCGCCGAGCACGUUGAAACUUUUGUCUCAAUCGCCGGACAGUCCUCCUCUUCAAGGUUAACUCAUGCGUCCACCACUUAAUUCUCCUAAUCUUAAAACUUAACACACCAGACCAACUCAUACAGCCGAGCAAUUUGCUCGCCCCAGAUCCUCGAACUCACUAAGCGGUAUUUCCAAUACAGCUUCCCUUACAUUCUGUCCAUAUUGGUUCCAGUCAGUACCAGAGGUACGCCAUCGCCGCAAUGGACCCACAUACGUCGAGGGAGGGGAUUGCGGAGAAACCAUAAUUUGGAUCAAAUUAUGGUCACUCAAUCCCCACCCUCCUCUAAUCUCCCAUAUGACAUCAAACGCUCUCCUUGCUGCCUCAUUCAUAAACGUUACGUCAAUAUCACUCAUACCUUGGCCCCUCAAACGUAUAGCAUUCACUCGGCUCAUUCAAAAUGUGGAGGCUCUUAGCCACCACCCAUUCACUCAAUACCUCGCCUCGGAUGUGGCUUUGAUAUCCAGACGAUUAUGCUCCCCAGCAGUAGUAGCUUAUCCAUAUAGCCCAGGUAGGGGUCUAGAGGCUCGCUAAAUUUGCAAUACAAACUUGCGACAAUCAUUCUACCGAACUCCCCCUCUACUGAAACACACACCCCCUGUUGCAACGAAUCCAACACUACGCAAUCGUCGUUUGGAUCAUUAAACCCAGGGUCCGUAAAGACCCUGAAAACUCCCUCAAGCAUACAACCCCCAACUCACACAUUACGGCAUACGAUCCCUGACAAUGAAGCUUAUCCCUAUCAGUGUCUGUCGAGGGCACGCUCAACAACGCCACAGUAUAUCGGGCAGACAGCUGACAUAAUAAGAUGCCCAGCUGGCUUACCCUUAAAUGCACAGUUGCGACCGCACCUUCUACAGACAUCUGACUUGGCCCUACACUCAGCCACUCUAUGUUCAAAACCCAUACACCGGAAGCAGCCAGCAACAGGGCUAUCCGGUCGAACCCUGAAGGAGAACCACUUGAUGUAGCACCUUCCCGCUUCCAAGAGUGUUGACAUUAAUUUGUCCGAACCCUCAAGGACAACGUUGUUGCUACCAUCAGGGACCACCUUCCAGGGCCGACUGACCAUCCUCACGUCUAACCUACGUGACUCAGGGCUGAAGUCCUGAAGGUUCAACUGAAAGAGCUCCUCCAUGAACUCAUAAUGGGAGAUUUCUGUGUAAACCCCCUGAACUACAUCCCGUGGACCCAACUUCCGGGUUUACAGUCACGUUCAAUCCCACCUCCCCGAACAGGUGCUGGAGGAGCACGUGCCGACUCAUCCGAAGCCGGAACCGACCUCUUCGGUUGGAGAUCCCCCACAUCCCCUCUGAGCGCAUCAACCUGACCGCGAAAUUGGGCAUUCUCGGUUACUACCGUCAUCAGGAGUGCCUCGUACCUUGAGGCAAGCUCCAUCAGCCCCUUCGCAGCCGUGACUUCGAAGUCCUUCGCACCGAAAACCAAGGCGCUUACCUUACCCUUCAUGGCAGCAAUAUGGCUGAUUACUCAGAAAAGACCGCCUGACAAAUCAAUGUCGCCGUAACGGUCGCGGGUUAACCGCUGUGGCACUGUACCAAUCGCACUGUGGGCUAACAGUACACUGCUACGACCGCAGUUCACGCAACAGUCAGCAACUCCAGCACUGGGACAGCCUCAGGCACCCUUUGGGCAAAACUAUCCCGGCAAACCCGACACAGGUGCAACUGAACGCCAGACGCUCAGCACAGCACUCACUGGUAGGCGAUCCAGCCAGCAGGAAUACCAACAACACGGUAAACCACUGAAACUGUGCGACAGCCCACCAAAUACAACUGUGUGGAUACCUACGCUUCUUCACAGAACUACAAAAAAGUAGUACUUACCUAAAUACACAGUACAGUCAACCGGAACUGUACAAAAAUACUCGCCCGAAAUACCGCAAGCCAUGCGCCUUACACACUGCGUAAACACACGACCGCACAAAAGAAAAUUCCGAAAACCGCAAGAACAACUACUCAUCAAAAAGUCACAAAGAUGCGCACGAGUUACGUCCACUUCUCAUUCCAAUGAGUCGUUCAACUCGCUUCCAAUAAAUUGGGGCAAAUGACAAACAAACAGUUUUGGUUGUUUACGCAUUAAAACUGCAGACCAAUCAAAUUUUUUGAUUUUCGAACUAACAAACUCAAUUGUUUGCUUGCACAGUAACAAUGUCACCUAAUUAAUUUUGUUAUUUAUUGUUAUUGUGAUUAUCGGUAAACUAUAUUCUCGGCCUGAUAUUGAAAAUUUACCUCUUCUCCAUCAUUUUUAUUAUUAUUUUGGCUUUGCCUAAUUCGUUGUGAAUUUGGGAAUUGUUGACGAAAUGACCCUGAGUUAUUAUUUGGACUAUUAUUAUUUUGACGUAACUGUCCAGAGUUAUUAUAUUGGUUAUUACCGGCGACUAACUGAAGGUUUCAAGACCGGAGCACACUCUUGUCGGACCCCCACCGGUGAUCUAGUUAUUGAUGACCAGAGUAUACUCAGUUUGUGGAGGGAACACUUCUUCAGCCUGCUGAAUGGCACUGAAAGUACAACACCAGGAGAUGGCGAACCCGAUUCCCCAAUCGACGACGAUGGAGCAGAUGUUCCAUUGCCCGACCGUGAAGAAAUUCGAAUAGCAAUUACCCGCUUGAAGAACAAUAAGGCGGCGGGGGCCGAUGAAUUACCGGCCGAGCUAUUCAAAUACGGCGGCGAAGAGCUGAUAAGGUGCAUGCAUCAGCUUCUUUGCAGAAUAUGGUCGUAAGAAAGCAUGCCUGACGAUUGGAAUCUCAGUGUGCUCUGCCCAAUACACAAAAAGGGAGACCCCACAAUUUGCGUCAAUUACCGUGGGAUAAGCCUCCUCAACAUCGCGUAUAAGGUUCUGUCGAGCGUAUUGUGUGUAAGACUAAAGCCCACCGUCAACAAACUGAUUGGACCUUAUCAGUGUGGCUUUAGACCUUGAAAAUCAACAACAGACCAGAUAUUCACCAUGCGCCAAAUUUUGGAGAAGACCCGUAAAAAUAGGAUCGACACACACCAUCUCUUUGUCGACUUUAAAGCUGCUUUCGACAGCACGAAAAGGAGCUGCCUUUAUGCCGCGAUGUCUGAAUUUGGUAUCCCCGCAAAAAUAGUACGGCUGUGUAAGCUGACGUUGAGCAACACCAAAAGCUCCGUCAGGAUCGGGAAGGACCUCUCCGAGCCGUUCGAUACCAGACGAGGUUUCAGACAAGGUGACUCACUCUCGUGUGAUUUCUUUAACCUGAUGCUGGAGAAAAUAAUACGAGCUGCAGAGCUAAAUAGAGAAGGUACAAUCUUCUAUAAGAGUGUACAGCUACUGGCGUACGCCGAUGAUAUCGAUAUCAUUGGAAACAACACCCGCGCCAUUAGUUCUGCUUUUUCCAGACUGGAUAAGGAAGCGAAGCCUAUGGGUCUGGUGGUGAACGAGGACAAGACGAAAUAUCUCCUGUCAUCAAACAAACAGUCAGCGCAUUCGCGUCUUGGCUCCCACGUCACUGUUGACAGUCAUAACAUUGAGGUUGUAGAUAGUUUCGUCUACCUGGGAACCAGCAUUAACAGCAAUAACAAUAUCAGCCUGGAAAUCUAACGCAGAAUCACUCUUGCCAACAGGUGCUACUAUGGACUAAGUAGGCAAUUGAAAAGUAAAGUCCUCUCUCGUCGAACAAAAACCAAACUCUACAAGUCUCAUCAUUCCCGUCCUACUUUACAACAUCCGAUGAGACGGCACUAGGAGUUUUCGAGAGAAAGGUUUUGCGGAAGAUUUAUGGUCCCUUAAACAUUGGCAACGGCGAAUACCGCAGACGAUGAGCUGUACGAUUUAUACGACGACAUUGACAUAGUUCAGCGAAUAAAAAGACAGCGGCUAGGUCAUGUUGUUCGAAUGGAUGAAAGUGCUCCAGCUCUGAAAGUAUUCGAUGCAGUACCCGCUUUUGGAAGCCGAGAAAGAGGGAGACCUCCACUCCGAUGGAAGGACCAGGUGGAGAGGGACCUGGCUUCGCUUGGUAUAACCAAUUGGCGCAAACUGCCAGAAGGAGGGAUACGUGGCGCGCUGUUUUGGACUCGGCUAUAACCGCGUAAGCGGUGUCUACGCCAGUCAAGAAGAAGAAGACUGUUUUGAAUUUUUGUUUUGAAUUAGUUAUACCUCCCUUAUAAAGGAUGAUAAGUCGUAGUUUGCCCGUAUACUCUUGUAUUCUUGACGCUUCUUUUAUUAACUCCGAACACGUUAAGUGAAUGGUUGAUUCAGUCGCCAUGUUUCUUCUUUUUUUUUUUGGGUCACUUAAAACUGAUUAAUACCGACCGAUUAAUUAUUAUUAAUCUUUGUAAUUUUUAUUAUUAAUCUUUAGAUUAAUACCGUGGUAAUCUAAUGAUUACUUGCGAGGAUUAUCGACUGCGCCACUUUUGUAAUAGAUGCCGAACGAUUAGAAUUUUUGUUUUAAAAUCUUUAUUGUUUAACUUUACAAUUCGGUUGGUUCUUAAGAACUGACUACAUUCUUUAAAAACUACUUAUAUUUAUAUGGUUCUUAAAUUUUCAAAUGCAGACUCAGCUCAACAUCAGUUGAACUCAUUCAUUGUUUGUGAAAUCAAUUAAGUCAGCGAAAUCGAUCGUUGCACCAAAAUUAUUAAAAUAAACCAAAACGGAAGUAUCGAAUUACUAUUGCAGUGUUCAAUGAUUUUUUUUGUUGUUAUAUACAAAACAAAAUUAAUUAGGUGACAUUGUUGCUGCGCAAGCAAACAAUUGAAUUUGUUAGUUCGAAAAUCAAAAAAUUUGAUUGGUCUGUAGUUUUAUUGCGUAAACAACUAAAACUGUUUGUUUGUCAUUUGCCCCAAUUUAUUGGAAGCGAGUUGAACGACUCAUUGGAAUGAGAAAUGGACGUAACUCACGCACGUCUAUCCGCGUCGACAGCCAACUAACGAAUGGCAUAUAUGUACAGUCAGUAAUCCCCGAUUAAGUGCCCCUUCUUAACAUGCAAGACUUGAGACACUUAAGCGGAAACGCACUUAAAUAAAUCCCGCUAAGUGCCUCGAGGUAUUUACCAAGCUUUUUCUGAAAUAGUUCGAUUUUAUAUUUUUUCUUUUAGAAUGAGUCACAUUUAUUUCUUAUUAGUACCAAAAAUACUUAUUAAUGCAAUAUAUAUAUAUAUAUUUGCCGUAGAAACCGCUUUAAGCGAUUAUAGCCGAAUCCACCAGAGCGCGCCACUCGUUCCUCCUUUUUUCUUUUUGGCGCCAACUGGAAACACCAAGUGAAGUCAGAUCACUUUGCACUUGUUCUUUCCACCGGAGUGGAGGUCGUCCUCUUCCGCGGCUUCCUCCAGCGGGUACUGCAUCGAACACUUUCAGAGCUGGAGCGUUUUCAUCCAUUCGUACAACAUGAUCUAGCUAUCGUAGCCGCUGUCUUUUUAGUCGCUGAACUAUGUCAAUGCAACUAGUGCAAUAAAUGUGAAACAAACAUUACAAAACCAUGUAUAUGUUGUCUUUUUGACAGUUCUCAGCACAUUAAAUGUCAAAAAAAUCAAAAGGCACUUAAAAGAGGAAAAUUGCAAACAAUUUUGUAUUUGUGGCUUAAAUAUUACAAGCAUUUAAGCUGGAAAGGCACUUAAGUGUAGAAUUUUAUAUGUAAAUUUAGUGAAAAAACAACGAUGUUGCAAAAUAUGGUCACUUAAGCGGGACAGGCACUUAAACCGGCACUGUGUAUCAGUUUAUAGCGUAAAAUCGAUCCAUGGAGCCCCAUCUACCUAUUGUAAAAAAUCCGAUAUUCCAUAAGAUUUUCACAAAUUUAUCGAUCAAUCCGAGCGUAUAAAAUAUACGAUUAAGGGGCACACCUAGUGUAAUGGCCUAAAAAAAAGGAUUUUUGGGAAUUUUUAUUAAAAAAAUACUUUAUCAAUUAUUUCAAAAUUUUAAGAAUAUAUUUAUACAUGUCUCAAGAAUAUGCAGUGAAAUUUUUGAAGAAAAAAAUUAAAUAUUUUUUAAGUUAUAGUCGAUCUCCAACGGCGCAAAAAAAAGGUCAUUCACAGCUGCAGUGAUUCCGGCCUUCUCCGUGGAUGAAAUCUAAAACAUAAAAUUCUCCUUAAACUAGAUAAUAUUGUCUGUACAAUGACCUACGAUAAAAAAAAUCAAAAAUUGACAAUAUGGCGGCGUUUAAAAAAAAAUAGUCGAAUUGUACCCAAAAUUUUGGUCGUUUUUGGCCUGCCAAAAUUCGAUUUUUUGAUCAGAUCAAAAAUCAAUAGGUCAUUGUACCGAGAACUAUAUAUAGAACAUGUAAAAAAAAAUUCGAUAGUGAUCGGAUCAUUUGUUUUUGAGUAAUCACUGCAGCAAAUUCGGAAAAUGUUUUGAGAAAAACGCGUUUAAAGAUAACAUGAUCGUUUUCACUGUUACCGAGCGGCUGCUCUUUAAAUUACUAUAACUCAAAAACUAUUUGAGAUUUCGAUUUGAAAUUUUAAUAUGUUAUUUUUAAAGGUGUAAUAUACCGAAAUAUAAAACAAAAAAUUUUUUUAAUUUCACACUAGGUGUGCCACUUAAAGCCGAACUUAGCGCUUCCAUACUGGUUUAAUAAACGGUUUCAAAGCAAAAUAUUCCUUACGAAUUACGCUUGUUUAAAGAGUUCGCUUACGUCGCUGGCCAUUCUUUACUUUUCUAGCAAGUUUUGCCCAUAUGUGAUUCUUGCGAAUUAAGGCGUAUAAAAUGGCCAGAAAGAAAUCUUUUUAGUUAGUUAGGUUAACUUGUUAGUUGAAUUUAAUGCUAUUAGGGUCUAAUUAAUUCUAUUGUUUAGUUAUUAAUGGUUUUGUGUUGCCGUAAUAGCCUUUUUGCACAGCCAAAUUAAUUGAAUAUAUUCAAAUUAUAAUUAAGUAAUCAGUUUUUCCUUUCGCAUUGCCGGCUGCUCGAUUAACGAUCUGCUGUUAGAUAUUUUGGUUUUUGCUGAUCAUAAGAAGGUGGUAAGUUUCAGCAACUGAUUGCUAGUUUAUCAAUAAACAUAGCAAAAUUUACAGCGUGUACAACAACCCCGCAGCGCUGCAUUGCAUUUUCAACUAGAUUUGUAUUAAAUUUAAAAUUUUCUUUUGUUUGGUAAAUCGCGCUAAAUCAGCGUUUUAAGCGCGCCAAGACCGGUUAAUUGUUCAAUUAGCCACAGUGCGAAAAGGCUAUAACAAUGCUAAUGUUGUACGCUGAAGCACAUAUUUAUUAGAACUGCUACAACGGUUUGCCGUACAAUUGUUGUUGUCUACUGCGGUAUUUCAUUAUUAAUUGUAUAAAAUUGAAAUCAUCAUAUUUAAUCAAAAUAUAUAUACAAAUUACUAAAGACAUGAGAAACGACUUAUGACUGAUUUAAUAAAAGUCUUAAAUGUAAAAAAAGUUAGUAUUAAUUAGGUUAGUUUUUUUUUAUAAAAACUUCCUUGAAUGAUAUAUAUAUAUAUAUAUAUAUAAAUAUAUAUAGAAUUACAGAAUUACAACUAAUUUUUAUAAAUUGUUAUAUCUUAAAAAUAAAAGAAAAAAUAAAAUAUUAAUAACAUAUAUUUAUAUAAAACAAACCACAAAGACUUAAAAGGCUCAAUUUUUUUGCCGGAUUGCAUUGGACAUAUAUAUAAGCCCGUUUUAUAAGGUGUAAUUGCUACAAGCGCCACGAAUAUUUAAAUAAUCCUUUCUGCAAACGCCUUCGAGAAUCGACAACAAGCAAAAACGUAACGUGCACGAAGGAGUAUACUUCUAGUAAUGAAUUGAGAAUGAUACAUAUUGUAGCAUCAUGAAAUAUUAAUAUAACAACCGAAUUAUUCAAAUGCAUUGAAAUAUAAAAAUAAUAAAAUGUCAAAGUUACUCAUAUACUUAUACUAUACAUAUACCAUAAAUGUAAGUACACAUCAAAAUUAGCAUAUACACGAAAUAAGAAUUGACUACCCAUUUUAAUAUACAUAUAUGUUGUGAAAUAAUGAAAUCAUACCGAGCGAUGUUUAGCUGAGGGCACAGGUCAAUAUAUAUUAAGUAAACAAAUGUUAAUUUCACAUGAUUUCUAUGAGUUUGUUAUAAAUCAAUUUGGCAUCAUAAAAUUCUACAAGCACUUGGCAUUAAAUUAUAAAAGCUUAAAGGUUUUUCGCACAGCCAAAUUUAUUGAAUACAUUAAGUUUAUAACUGAGCAACCAGUUUUUACGCUUCCCAUUUAACGAACAGCUGAUGAUACAUUUUAGAGAUUUUUAUUAUGUAUGAUAAAUUGAACUAAAUUAGCGCUUUAAUCGCGCAAAUGCCGUUUAAUUGUACAAUUAAUUGUUGAGCGAAAAGUGCAUAUGUAUGUAUGCCUUGUUUAUUACUAACAUGCAGACUUGUAAUGUAAAUUGUAUUGUUCUUUUACAAAGCAAAUGUAUACUUCAUAAGUAAGAUACAUACUUGAGAAUUCAUGUAAACCAUAUAUCGUGCAAACCGACGAAAUUGAAAUAAAUAGGAAACAUCGAAAUAUUUAUAUAUAUUUUAAAAUAAAGUAUUUAUAAAUGGCAAUUCGUAAUAUUUGUAACUUGUAUUUGUAAUUGCUAAAUACGAGAAGAAAAAAAUAUAACAAAUAUUUAUUGUAAAUACGAAAUAUUGAUAUCGAUCACAAACUAUUGUAAAAUCUUAAGCAUUUUUAUAAUAAUUCUAAGUGUUCGAUAUUAUUUACACAAAAACAUUUUAAAAAGACCACUAACGGUCGCGUUUGAUUAGCAUAAUAUUACACAAUCUAAUUCAAAUUAAAAAAGUACAUUUGCAUAUGUACAUACAUGAUACCAGUAAAAAUUAUAAAUUAAAUAUAUAAUAUUUUUUGUUUAAUUUAAUAUGCAACGUAUUUUAAGUUUAUUGUAGUUUUUUUAUAUUUUUUAUAUUUUCUAUAUAUACAUAUUUUUUUUUAUUUCUUCAAAUUUGGUUUUUUAUUUUAUAUGUAUGUCAAUUUAGAAUUAUUUAAAUCGCUUUCUUUUAAUCGCAUACCAAAGUUGAUAUCGAGUGAGAUAUAUUAUAUAUAUAUAUAUAUAUAUAUAUAUAUAUGAGAAAAAAUAUAAUGUAGACAAAUGACAUACUUACAUAUUUGCAUAUUUGUAAUAGACAAUACUAAUAAAACGUCGAUAUACAAUAUAUCAUAAUAAAAAUGUGUUUUUGUGGAUGAAAUAUAUCGGACCCUAUCACAUGAAAAAAUAAAAAUAAAACAUUUCAAGUUCGUUAACUUAAGAUUUUUAAAUAGUCAUAAUUACUAAAACAAGUAAGGAAUCACUAAGUACGUGUGCUACAUUUUUUGUUCUCGCAAUUUAUUUAUGAAAUUUUUCUAAGAUUGGAACUGUAUAUUCGGCACGGAAUCCACUGAAAUAACGAUAAUCAUUAUAUAUAGAUUUCACUCAUUUUCACUACCAAGCUAUAUCAUAUUCAAAAUUUUACGUCCACUUGAUCUGACUAUGAUAUCUCACAUAUUAACCAAUAUAUACGGUAUACGGUCCAUCAGAAGUUUAAAAAGCCAUAUAUCAGGUAUAUGGGUCUAAAGAAGUAUUGACCCGAUUUUGCCCAUUUUCGACAUAGUGACACACUAUUAGAAUGAACACAUCUCCAUUGAAUUUCUAUAAAAUAUCUAAGAGAUUUACCUAAUUUUUGUCACAAGCACUAAGGUGCUCAUGUUCGAUAUAUGGGGCCUUGACAGGUUAUAAUUACAGCGAUUUUUAGCCGUCCGAUGGUCACACUAGAAAUGCAGUAUUUGUGCAAAGAUUUGGCUCGAUAUCUUUACCAUCGGUAACAUAAGGGUGGCAAAAAAAUAAUAUGUACUAAAUUUCAACCCGCUUAUGCGGUUGUGCGUAGGGCUUGGGACCCACCACAUAAAAACACCCCCCAAUGAAAAAUCUACGAAAGCCUCGGAUGAGACACCCCCCUUUUGAUGACGACCCCUGCAAACGUUUUAAGGAUAAUGAUAUAAGGGCAUGCACCUGGAAUGUCCGGACCCCUAAUUGGGAAGGUGCCUCUGCCCAGCUGGUUGAUGUCCUCAUACGACUUAAGGCUGACAUCACCGCCAUCCAAGAAGUGCGAUGGACGGGACAAGGACGGAAGAAGGUGGGUCCUUGUGACAUCUACUACAGCGGCCAUAUAAAGGAGCGCAAAUUUGGUGUUGGAUUUGUGGUGGGAGAGAGACUCCCUCGCAGAGUCCUGGCAUUCACCCCGGUGGAUGAACGUCUAGCCACAAUCCGCAUCAAAGCGAGGUUCUUCAACAUAUCGCUGAUUUGCGCCCCGCCCCAACGGAAGAGAAGGACGAUGUGACCAAAGAUGCUUUCUAUGAGCGCCUAGAACGCACCUAUGAGCGCUGCCCCUGCCACGAUGUAAAAGUCGUGCUUGGCGAUUUUAACGCCAGGGUGGGUAAAGAAGCUGUCUUUGGCACAACAGUCGGAAAAUUCAGCCUCCAUGACGAAACAUCGCCAAACGGCCUGGGGCUGAUCGACUUCGCUGGGGCCCGAAAUAUGGUCGUCUGUAGUACCAGAUUCCAGCAUAAGAAAAUACAUCAAGCUACUUGGCUGUCUCCUAAUCGAAACACGCGAACCAAAUCGAUCACGUUGUGAUAGACGGAAGACAUGUCUCCUGUGUUUUAGAAGUGCGUACGCUCCGGGGGCCUAAUAUAGACUCGGACCAUUAUCUGGUCGCAGCGAAGAUACGCACCCGCCUCUGUGCAGCAAAGAAUGCCCGUCAACAAACACAAGGAAGGUUCGACGUCGAAAAGCUGCAAUCGCAACAGACAGCCACGAAAUAUUCUACUCGACUUGCACUCCUGCUCUCUGAGAGCACUCAUCAGCAUCUCGGUAAAAGGGAACUGUGGAACGGCAUCUCAAACUCACUGUGUACCGCUGCAGCCGAAACAAUUUGUUUUCGGCAACGACAAAAAACAAGCUGGUACGAUGAGGAGUGCCGUCUCGCAGCGGAGAGAAAACAGACUGCCUACCUCGCAACGUUGCAAACAACCACAACACGUGCGGGAUGGGAUAGAUACCGAGAGCUGAAGAGGGAAGCGAGACGCAUCUGCAGACAAAAAAGAAAGAGGCCGAAAUGCGUGAGAAGGAAGAGCUUGAGAAGCUGGCAGACAGAGGGAAUGCUCGAAAAUUUUAUGAAAAAAUUAAGCGACUUAACGAAGGUUUCAAGACCGGAGCAUCCUCAUGUAGAGACCAAGGUGGUAAUCUGGUAACCGAUGUCCAGGGCAUACUGGGAUUAUGGAGGGAACACUUCUCCGACCUGCUGAAUGGCAGUGAGAGUACAACACCAGGAGAUGGCGAACCCGAUCCCCCAAUCGAUGACGAUGGAACAGAUGUUCCAUUACCCGACCAUGAAGAAAUUCGAAUAGCAAUUACCCGCUUGAAGAACAACAAAGCAGCGGGGGCCGAUAGAUUACCAGCAGAACUAUUCAAAUACGGCGGCGAAGAACUGAUAAGGUGCAUGCAUCAGCUUCUUGCAGAAUAUGGUCGGAAGAAAGCAUGCCUGACGAUUGGAAUCUCAGUGUGCUCUGCCCAAUCCAUAAAAAGGGAGAUCCCACAAUCUGCGCCAAUUACCGUGGGAUCAGCCUCCUAAAUAUCGCAUACAAGGUUCUAUCGAGCGUACUGUGUGAAAGACUAAAGCCCACCGUCAACAAACUGAUUGGACCUUAUCAGUGUGGCUUUAGACCUGGAAAAUCGACAACUGACCAGAUAUUCACCAUGCGCCAAAUUUUGGAGAAGACCCGUGAAAAGAGGAUCGACAUACACCACCUUUUUGUCGAUUUUAAAGCUGCUUUCGACAGCACGAAAAGGAGCUGCAUUUACGCCGCGAUGUCUGAAUUUGGUAUUCCCGCAAAACUAAUACGGCUUUGUAAGUUGACGUUGAGCAACACCAAAAGCUCCAUCAUGAUUGGGAAGGACCUCUCCGAGCCGUUCGAUACCAAACGAGGUUUCUGACAAGGUGACUCACUAUCGUGCGACUUCUUUAACCUGAUGCUGGAAAAAAUUAUAAGAGCUGCAGAGCUAAACCGAGAAGGUACAAUCUUCUACAAAAUUGUACAGCUCCUGGCGUACGCCGAUGAUAUUGAUAUCAUCGGAAGCAACAACCGCGCCGUUUGUUCUGCUUUUUCCCGCAUGGAUAAGGAGGCGAAGCGAAUGGACGAAAUAUCUCCUGUCAUCAAGCAAACGUCGGCGCAUUCGCGUCUUGGCUCCCACGUCACUGUUGACAGUCAUAACUUCGAGGUCGUAGCUAAUUUCGUAUACCUGGGAACCAGCAUCAACAACACGAACAAUGUCAGCCUCGAAAUCCAGCGCAGAAUAACUCUUGCCAACAGGUGCUAUUUUGGACUGAGUAGGCAAUUGAACAGUAAAGUCCUCUCUCGACGAACCAAAAUCAAGCUCUACAAGUCGCUUAUCAUUCCCGUCCUGCUUUACGGUGCAGAAGCUUGGACGAUGUCAGCAUCAGAUGAGACGACACUAGGAGUUUUCGAGAGGAAAAUUUUGCGCAAGAUUUAUGGUCCUCAGAACAUUGGCAACGGCGAAUAUGGCAGACGAUGGAACGAUGAGCUGUACGAGUUAUACGACGACAUUGACAUAGUCCAGCGAAUAAAAAAACAGCGGCUACGCUGGCUAGGUCAUGUUGUUCGAAUGGAUGAAAGUGCUCCAGCUCUGAAAGUAUUCGAUGCAGUACCCGCUGGUGGAAGCCGAGGAAGAGGGAGACCUCCACUCCGAUGGAAGGACCAGGUGGAGAGGGACCUGGCUUCACUUGGUAUAACCAAUUGUCGCCAAACUGCUAGAAGGAAGGAUACGUGGCGCGCUGUUUUGGACUCGGCUAUAACCGCGUAAGCGGUGUCUACGCCAGUCAAGAAGAAGAAGACUGUUUUGACGUAACUGUCCAGAAUUAUAUGGGUUAUUACUGUUUUGACGUAACUGUCCGAAGUUAUGAUUAUUGUUAUCCGUAAAUGUUUGUAAGUUAUUGUUUUGGGGAACUCUAUGUUGUGGUAAGUAUUGUGACUGUUGUCUAUUGUUUGGUGUAAACCUGUUCUGUAUAUUCGGUCUACUGUCGUAUCUUUUUACCAUGCCUAUUCAUUGGUGAUUCGUUUUUAUGUGGUGGGUCUCAAACCAAACGGAUGUCUGUUCGCUACCCAGAGGAUACUUGGUCUAAGACCGGAAGUCGUAAGCUGCUUUAGCCACAUGCAAAGGAAUCGUCCCUGACCACUCCCAAGUGAAUGGCAGUCAGAAACUUUCCUCACCUACGUGAACUUCUACAUAUGACUCCAUCCUCCGUAGUAAUCAGCAAUAUAAAUUUUGUUGACUCCAGCAGGCACUUCAUUGAGGUUGGCCUGCUAACUGCUACUGGAGAGUGGCGGAGAUGGACUCUGGCUGAUAUUAGCCUAUAUGUCUCAUGAGGAUGAGAUGGAACCAUCCCCCCAUGUUGCUAAGAAGGGCCCUAGAGGAGGCGGAUAAAGCCUGCUACUGGAGAGUGGCGGAGAUGGACUCUGGCUGAUAUUAGCCUAUAUGUCUCAUAAGGAUGAGAUGGAACCAUCCCCCCAUGUUGCUAAGAAGGGCCCUAGAGGAGGCGGAUAAAGCCGGAAUCAGGGUCUUCACAGGAUGUGACGCGAACUCGCGACAUCAAAUCUGGGGCAGCUCGGAUACAAAUAAAAGGGGACCUGUGGAAGCAGAAAGUGGAGAAAUAUCCUUUGGUGCGACGAAACAAAAAUAAAUUUGUUUAGUGAAAGAAGUCUACGUCGCCCAUAAAGAAAGGAUUUAUCUUUUUAGCAUGACUUCUUCAAUGGACAGUAUGACCUGCGACUCAUUUGGUAUGUCUAAAAAAAUAAGUAAGCCAAACCGGAAUGAUGGUGGAUAUAUUGGCUAUUAACUAGGUAAUGUUAAAUAUAUAACAAAACAUUUGUAUCAUAAUUUAUUUUUCCCAAUUAAAUAUCUCAUCAAAAGUGUAUCUAUUAUUUUGAACAGGUGUGUAUCUCCAUCCCUUAUUCAUUGAUAUGACUUUGCUGUUACAAUAACUUUCCGUGUUAAUCAAGGUCAAUUAUUAUACAAGCGCCAGUUUUAAACGACGAAUCUACCGCGUCCAGCACGCAGUGAAGGAAAUAUAGCGGCCGUAGCUGAUAGUGUACACGAAAACCGUGGAGAGUCGAUUCGGCGCCGUUCGCAGCUACUCGCACUGACGAAUGAAACGACUUGGCGCAAUUUACGUCGAGCUCUCAAGUCUAAGAAGACAACCUCGCUUUGAAGCAAAACAACACGUAUGUCAUCGAAACGCGUCAUCGAAAAUUGGACACAACGGAUGGGCCAGCUAAGACGUAGCCGCGAAACACAUUUAAAAAAUUAAUGCCAAAGAAUGUUGUUUCAAAUGAUAAAUGAUUUGGCAAUCGCUUAAGAUAUUUCCUUUGAUCUGACGAUUUGGAGACAUUUCAGACUAAUCUUACGCAGUUGAUUACAGAACAAUGCUGUGGACGUCAUAGACGCACCCGGUGGAACCUUUUCUUCUUUCACUCAUUUUGGCAACCAUAGGAUCGCAAAAUAGUAUUGUACUGCCCAUUGCAACAUCUACAACUGCGAGCAGCUUUAUGUGGCCUGUUCACACCUUGGAAAGUCUACUGAUCGACUUGUAUACCGAAUAUACGGGUCAAAUUGUGAGGAGCAAAGCGAUACAACGACAUACAAUGGUCUUUAUUAUCUAUAGUGGCUCACAGCAAAGUGAUGCAAGCGUACAAUAAAUACUAAAGCAAGUAUUACUUGAAAACUAAAUACACUUUCGAAAAAAUUUAAAUACCAAUUAACAGCGGCAGAUAUACACAUAAAAUUUAUGCUUAAAAAAAAUCAAAUUUUACAGUUUUUUAUUUAUCUACAACAAAAACAAACGACAGUAUAAUAUUGAACCUCACAGCGAAAAUGAUGCAGUAACAAAAAAAAAACAAAUACAUUGAAACUUUAACAACAAUUUUAGGUCGAUUAGUACUUUGUGGGAUGCCCCUUACUAUCUAUAACUGCUUUCAUUCGUUCCAGCAUUGAUUCUACCAAUUAAUUUGUAUAGUUUGGAGCAAUUUUAUUCGUCCAGGGCGUUUUUUAAGUACUCUUUUGUAUUUUCGCAUGUCUCGUUCAAAAACUGACCACAGAGUCUCUACUGCAUUCAAAUCUGAAGAUUGCUCUGGUGUUUGUACUAUGUGGACAGGUCCAAAUUAGCCAACUUUGCAGAACUCCCGAAUUUGUGUUUCGGAUCUUUAUUUUGAUAGUACCGAAAAUUAUCAAGAGUAUUUAAUUUUGUAGUAAAUUUCGUUUCAAAAUGUCCAGAUACACACUCGUGUACAUAGUAUAAUCAAUAAAUUCCAAAUUCCCAACACCAGAAGACGACAUACAUCCCACACAAUUACAUGACCUCCACCAUGUUUUACAGUACUACGUAGAUUAUGAGCAGGGAUGGGCACAUCCACAAUCAAACGAGUAUCACAAAAUGAGAUUGUGUUAGUGUGCUUACUGUGGUACCAAACGAAUCAGCAAUCAAAAAUAUUCAGUCUGCUUGCAGAGGUUGAGCGAGCAGGUCUAUGCCGCACGGUUGUACAAUGCGAAUAUACGCACGUGCUAAUGAAUGUAAAAAUUAAUAAUAAUUUAUAUAUAAUAUAAAUUAUAGUAAAAUUGGAUAAUAUAAUAAUUUAAAAAAGUAAUUUAGUGCUAAUUUAUAAUGAAAAGAUUGUUUUCAUUCCAUACGUAAAAUAUACAACUCCGUCCGCAACGACCUGCACAGUCAACUGCUGAUUGCAGACUGAUUUUAUCGUCGUUUAUUUAUCGUAUUGUCCCAUCGUAGGUGCUCGUUUUACGCUCUUCGCUUGUGCGUGUUAGUGACAAUCGGUGUGUGUACAUAUACGAUCACUUACGCUCUUUUAGCACCUGCUAAGACUUUGCCCAUGCCUGAUUAUGAGGUUGUAGCUCAGCAAUUGCUUUUAUCCAUACAUAUCUAUUUCUAUCCGAUCUAAACAUGUUGAAAUUACUCUCAUCUGCAAAAUGUACGGUAUUCCAGAAGUUUGCAGGCUUAUAUAACUGUUCGUUUGCAACCUUCAACCUUGUACUUCAAGUUUUAACAUUGAUGUAUGGUUUAUUUCGGGAUGUGCGGCCAUUGAAAUGAGCUCCUCUGAGCAUUCUUAUUGUGGUUUGGGAAUAACAGUCCUUUCCAAUAAUUUUUUCCACUUCGUUGUUUAAAGCUGGAGCACUUAAAUGAGGAUUUUCUCGUAUUUUCCGUACAAUACAACGGGAAUAACUAACGUUAAAUAUUUUAUUAUGAGUUCAUCUUUUUUUAUUUGCAACACGAUUUUCACGAACAUUACGUUAAAUGAUAUACCGAAUAGUUUCUUGACUCAGUUUUACCAUUUAGGCGACUUUGUGUUGACUUUUUCCCUCUUUAUACACUUCAAUACUUGUUUCGAGGCCCAUUUUGAAAUAUACUUUACAAAUGACAAACUAAAAUGUCAAAACUAUUAAAUAUUAUUCCAGGAUAGCUCACAUUUAUAACAGUAUUUACUUUUCAUUCGAAAAUCGACGCCGAGCUGUCGCCGCUAACUGUGCAUCAUUUUGGCUCUGAGCUUGUACUUCAGUAUACGAACAUGUUUUUACUUACCGCUUGUAAAAUAUAAAUAAUUUUUGCGUUUUAUUCUAUUUAUAAUACAAGAUUAAAUAUAUAUGUACCUACUAAUCAAUAAAUGAGUAAACCUUUUUAAUUUCGAAAUACAAACAUGAUUUUUCAUUUCGUUGCUGCAUCAUUUUAGCUGAGCCACUGUUUAAGUAAACGUUUUUUUUUUCUUUCAUAAUGGAUCGGCACCUUUAACAAUAUCUUUAUGUAAUAUUACGACUUUUCGAUUUGUUAUCUUACCUUAUGUUAUCAAGAUGUUUGAAAUAUAUUAGGAUUAUAGCAACUUAAUACACCUCACUUCAACAUAAACUUAUUUACUUACCAAGGAUGGGCCAAUGCUUGUUUACAGGUGUAGCGCUUAUCCACGUUUACACACAUUAAGUUUUGAAUAAAGUUCUUAGCAGAUUCGCUUAUUUCAUCCCAGUAUGGUGAGUCAAACUCGAAUUCACCUAAUGAAAUACAAUAUUAUACAGACAUUAUUAAAUAAAAAGAUACUGUCGACAACUUUCGACGCUAGUAAAGAAUAAUAUAAUAAAUGAAAAUGAAAUAUUUUAAACAAACCUUUUAAGAUUUGUGCAAAUAGAUUUGCAUCAUUUUCAUCAUAGAAUGGUGGAUAACCACAGAGUAAUAUAUAAGAUAUAACGCCUAUGCUCCAUACAUCAACUGCUUUUCCAUAUGGCUUUUGUGCCAAAACUUCCGGCGCUACGUAACCUGGUGUGCCGCAAGCUGUUGCCAUAAUACCAGAGUCUUCCAUCUUCGACAAUCCAAAAUCACUAAUCAUUAUUUUGCUGUCAUUAUUAGGACUGUAGUAAAGCAGAUUCUCUGGCUGUAAUGAAUACAAAAAACCUGUGAAUUGUUAUAAAUUAAUUAAACGGCUAACAGCCGAGUGGUGAAUAAAAUAUAUUUGCUGCAUUAAGGGGAUCGUUCAAUAUGACGGCUUGUUUUUUCAGUUUUUUUUCUACGGUAAGUAAAUAGUUAGUUAGUUUCGACAGUAUAAAUAUAAAUUUUAAGCUAAAAAUAUUGUGUAGAACAUGAGUUACCGGCGGAUUGGCUUAUUACAAAAUGCAUAGACAAAAUUUUGCUCUUUUGAUAGAUAUUUAAAAAAUGCGAAUUUUGGGAAUUUUUUUGAUAAAUAAAUUUUUGAUUGAUAACAAUAAGCCUAGUUGUCAUCGAGGUCAUCUAAUGGGAGACCCGUGAAAGUUGCUGUUUCGAUAGGGUCGGACCAAAGGGAAAUGGGUGUUAGAUGAGUUGGGUUUGUUUGGCAUACAAAGAGGUGACUACUAUCAUGCGGGGACUCAUUUCACUGCAUCCAGGUGACCAUAACGGUGCUGCGUAGUUGA